AUCGCUUCUCGGCCUCUCAAGGCUAAGAUCAAGUGUAGUAUCUGUUCUUAUUGGUUUAAUAGGGGGGGGGGGGGGGGGGGGGGGGGGGGGGGGGGGGGGUUGGAGGAGUCAGAUUAUGAGCUUGCUCUGUCUGUUCCACGCAUUGUCCUGGUAUUGCAUUAUCUCCAGGAUCAGUGCACCUUUU
rnacentral:snRNA from 1 species